rnacentral:rRNA from 1 species
CACUCCUACGGGAGGCAGCAGUGGGGAAUUUUGGACAAUGGGCGAAAGCCUGAUCCAGCAAUGCCGCGUGAGUGAAGAAGGCCUUCGGGUUGUAAAGCUCUUUUGUCAGGGAAGAAACGGUGAAAGCUAAUAUCUUUUGCUAAUGACGGUACCUGAAGAAUAAGCACCGGCUAACUACGUGCCAGCAGCCGCGGUAAUACGUAGGGUGCAAGCGUUAAUCGGAAUUACUGGGCGUAAAGCGUGCGCAGGCGGUUUUGUAAGUCUGAUGUGAAAUCCCCGGGCUCAACCUGGGAAUUGCAUUGGAGACUGCAAGGCUAGAAUCUGGCAGAGGGGGGUAGAAUUCCACGUGUAGCAGUGAAAUGCGUAGAUAUGUGGAGGAACACCGAUGGCGAAGGCAGCCCCCUGGGUCAAGAUUGACGCUCAUGCACGAAAGCGUGGGGAGCAAACAGGAUUAGAAACCCUUGUAGUCC